AGAACCAUGGUUCGGCUUAGGUAUAUUUAUUGAUCUGGAUUUGAAUUGGAGGACGAGUCAUGCUUCCUAACUUGAUGGUUGUUCGAAUCGAUGGUCGUGAAGAUUUUUUCAAGUUCAAGAGUUUGAGAAGCCUAAUGAUGAAACAGCACUCAGUCUGAUGAAUUCAUGUUCUGCUGCGGUUUUGCAAGAGUUUCCGGACAUCAUCUUUGCGUAUGGAUACAAUAAAGAAUACAGGUCCCAAAAAAUUUACUUCUUUGACUGCACCUUGAAUGGGUUUUUGAUAAGAGCACCUUCUGUUUUUGCUGUAGCUUGAAUGGGUUUGUGUACAUUGAGUUUGUGGUGAGUCUGAUCUUGAAUGGAUUGAAUGAGUUUAUCAGUUUAUGUUUCUCUGUUUUUGAUAAGUAUUUCAAUUACAGGUUAACAUACAAUUUGAUCCGAAUGCAAGCUCAGAGAAGUCCAUCGGAUACAACGGUGGCG